rnacentral:rRNA from 1 species
ACUCCUACGGGAGGCAGCAGUGGGGAAUAUUGCACAAUGGGCGCAAGCCUGAUGCAGCGACGCCGCGUGAGGGAUGACGGCCUUCGGGUUGUAAACCUCUUUCACCAGGGGCGAAUUGAGACGGUACCUGGAGAAGAAGCACCGGCCAACUACGUGCCAGCAGCCGCGGUAAUACGUAGGGUGCGAGCGUUGUCCGGAAUUACUGGGCGUAAAGAGCUCGUAGGCGGUUUGUCGCGUCGUUCGUGAAAACCCGAUGCUUAACAUCGGGCGUGCGGGCGAUACGGGCAGACUUGAGUACUACAGGGGAGACUGGAAUUCCUGGUGUAGCGGUGAAAUGCGCAGAUAUCAGGAGGAACACCGGUGGCGAAGGCGGGUCUCUGGGUAGUAACUGACGCUGAGGAGCGAAAGCGUGGGUAGCGAACAGGAUUAGAUACCCUGGUAGUCCACGCCGUAAACGGUGGGUACUAGGUGUGGGUUCCUUUCACGGGAUCCGUGCCGUAGCUAACGCAUUAAGUACCCCGCCUGGGRAGKACGGCCGCAAGGCUAAAACUCAAAUGAAUUGACGGARRAUCYA